CCAUUCUGUGUGUGUGAAGAAGGUUUUUAGGACUGUAAAACACUUUUAGUAGGGAAGAAAAAAAUGACGGUACCUACAGAAGAAGCAACGGCUAAAUACGUGCCAGCAGCCGCGGUAAUACGUAUGUUGCGAGCGUUUUCCGGAAUUAUUGGGCUUAAAGGGCAUGUAGGCGCUAAGACAAGUUGAAGGUGAAAACCUGUGGCUCAACCAUAGGCUC
rnacentral:rRNA from 1 species